UACGGGAGGCAGCAGUGGGGAAUAUUGCACAAUGGGCGCAAGCCUGAUGCAGCCAUGCCACGUGUAUGAAAAAGGCCUUCGGGUUGUAAAGUACUUUCAGUCGUGAGGAAGGUGUUAAGGUUAAUAACCUUAGCAAUUGACGUUAGCGACAGAAGAAGCACCGGCUAACUCCGUGCCAGCAGCCGCGGUAAUACGGAGGGUGCGAGCGUUAAUCGGAAUUACUGGGCGUAAAGGGCACGCAGGCGGUUAAUUAAGUUGGAUGUGAAAUCCCCGGGCUUAACCUGGGAAUGGCAUUCAAGACUGGUUAGCUAGAGUCUUGUAGAGGGGGUAGAAUUCCAUGUGUAGCGGUGAAAUGCGUAGAGAUGUGGAGGAAUACCGGUGGCGAAGGCGGCCCCUGGACAAAGACUGACGCUCAUGUGCGAAAGCGUGGGGAGCAAACAGGGAUUAGAUACC
rnacentral:rRNA from 1 species